CCCCCCCCCCCCCCACCUCCCCGGCACCCCCCCCCCUUCUGUGCGCACUCGCUGCGCCAAGAGCAGCCAGCGGCCGUUCUCCGCCUCCCUGCACCCGCACCGUGGGGAGAAUUGCAAAGUUGCAAGGAGUCAACUGGUCAAUUCAAAGUAAAGGCAGGAUGGGCAGGCAAGAACAUGCUGAUGAACAACAAUGCUCUCAUCUUAAGACAGCCAGGGCCUGAGGUAAACCUCU
rnacentral:lncRNA from 1 species